rnacentral:tRNA from 1 species
CGAGUUGCCCGAGCGGCCAAAGGGAUCUGACUGUAAAUCAGACGGCACAGCCUUCGGGGGUUCGAAUCCCUCACUCGCCACACCA